ensembl:lncRNA RGD1565753 similar to citrate synthase
AGUGCGGUGUCUUCUUAGCUGAGUUUCUGAGAUGCCUCAGUCCCAGGCAUCCUGAGCCCACACCACUGUGACCAUGUAGGCUCUGAGCAAACCGGGUCAAGCUACCAACCAGAGGACUCAGGGGGAGCCCUUGCUGCUGGUUUUGCCCCUUAUUGCUUUCUGGGACUAGAAGACUGUAGAAAACGAUAAAGGAAGACGUGAGGGUACAUCAGAACAUAGACCGUGUUUUGGAAGGCAGCCAAUGCAGACAAAUCAAGAAAUUAACAUUCAGUGUCUCCAUCAUCAUCACCAUCCAGAAGGGUAGGUGUAAUUUGCUGAACAUCCAUCUAGCUUUACCUUGGAAAUAAAGGGGAGAUUACUAAGUAGAAGGCUGUAUCAGAUUUUGGACAACGAUAGGCAAAUAUGGAGUCACGACUUACGCUGAGGAGAAAAUGAGGGAAGUCUGAUCUGAAACUGAUGUGUUACAGGUGGUGCACUCCUCCGGUGGCAGCCACUACAAAGACUCUGUUGGUCCCAC